rnacentral:lncRNA from 1 species
AUGCUUAAUUGCUGGGGUCAGGAAACGUGCCUGUUUUCCCCAGCUAAUCUUGCAAGAAAGGAUCAGAGUGACAACCAAACCUGUCUCAGCACCGUACUGCUGCGCGUGGAGUCUCUGAGCAGCUGCAGGAAUGAGAUCUACUGGUCUACAGCCUGGCAAGCAGAGAGCGCCGUGGGAAGAGAAACCCCAGCCUGCCAGAAACAAUGCUGGCUACACCACUUGUGCACAAGGCUGCACGGGCUGCAGCUGCCCCUCCAGUCCCAAACCUGCAGAUGGAGCGGUAGGGAGGAGCUGCGGUCUGCAGAGCAGCUGGGCAGGAGCGUGCCAGCAUCCCAAACAGCUGUGGCUGCCAAGCUACCUCCUGCAGCAGCUCUGCAUGCGGCAAACAUGCAGUUUUGGAGGGGGCAUUUUGGAGGAAUGACUUUCCCUAUGGUAGGACUUAUUUUGGCUUUGAGACCUGAUGCUACGCAGGGGUCCCUUUACACCUUCAUGAACACUUAAAUGAUUCUUAAAGAGACUGAAACAGUAUAAACCCAUAAUUUACCUCUUUUGUAGUCCCAAAGUUGCUGCCAAAGUUCAUAGAACUCACUAAGUUGUGCAAAGCAGCUUUGACAUCCAGGCUUCUAGGAAGCCUGAUUGAAUUAUUGAGGCUAAGUGUAUCAGCGCACAUCAGCUGAGCCUCAGGAGCUGCUCAUGGGUGCGCCUUUCGCCAUUGAGUAAUUUGGCUUGUUUCAACUUACUUCACUGCAUCCCGAUAGAGGUUGAAUUAGUGUGUUUGUUGCAGGCUAAAUGCACACAUGUGGACAGCUCUUCUGGCUCAGCUGACAUAUGGCAUCAUGUUGAACCCGACCCUGUGGCUGAGCGCCAGGAAUGAGUAACACCACGUACAAGCUGGCUAUCAUGGCGAGGUUAAUAUCUGGGGCCUUCUCCUUCUCUGUGCAAUUCAAUCAUCAGCUGUUUAUUUCCAUAGCCACAUGCACUAAAAAAUAGUUUAUGGCAGUGCUGUAGGAAGGGAACGUGGAGAGAGGCCAUCACAAUAAACACCCUUCAACAGCCA